rnacentral:rRNA from 1 species
CACGUAGGGCGCAAGCGUUGUCCGGAAUUAUUGGGCGUAAAGAGUCGUAGCGGUCUGUUGCGUCCGCUGUGAAAUCUCGGGGCUUAACCCCGAGCCUGCAGUGGAUACGGGCAGACUAGAGGUAGGUAGGGGAGAAUGGAAUUCCCGGUGUAGCGGUGAAAAUGCGCAGAUAUCGGGAGGAACACCGGUGGCGAAGGCGGUUCUCUGGGCCUUACCUGACGCUGAGGAGCGAAAGCGUGGGGAGCGAACAGG